CACUCUCCAGCGAGUAGAAGUGCGCGCCGGGCAGGUUCACCGAGCUCACCAGGAGCUGCUCUCCCAACUGCAUGCUUUAGCGAAUCGCAGACGGCAACCGGCUGCCUCCUCGCCUCCCGCGGCCUGGUUAUAAAGGCCAGUUGGGGGAGCCAGCGCCCUCUUCCGAGGGGAAGGGUUUCGAAUAUCCCGGGCUGGCCUUGAACUACGAAGCUGAGGAGGCCCUUGAGCUCCUUCUCCUCUCAUUCUCCCCCUGCAUCGACUUCCUCAGCGUUGGGACUACAGGACCACCUGCUCAUGGGUAGCACCAUCCACAGUGAACUGGAUCCCUCCACAUCAAUCAUUAAUUAAGAUGACAAUUUCUCCGCACACCGAUCUGAUGGAGGCGUUUUCUGAACUGAGGCUCCUGGAGAUGACUCAAGAUUGUGCCAGGUUGACAAAAACAACUGAGGGGUGCAAACCCAUAACCUAGAACCAUUCCAUCUCUGCAUACAGGGAAACUCUGUGAACACUAAUCAUGAGAGUCAUGUAUUUCUUAGAAAUUAGUCCUAAUAAGAAAGUAGGUUAUUAAUCAAAUAGGAUAAUGGAAAAGUCCAUAAGAUAGUCAUGAAUCAUUCUCUCCCCACAAUCAUUCUUAAGGUACUCCCCAUUUUAGCAUCUCAGUCUUGCCUCAUUUCCUCCUCCUCCUCCUCCUCCUCCUCCUCCUCCUCCUCCUUUGACCCCUAACAAUGCUAUGGAUUGAACCAAGGGCUUCAUGCACGCUAAGCAAGAGCUCUACCACUGAGCUAUUAGCCCUCCACAGCGGUGCCAGAGCUGCAAACCUGACUCAACAUCUCCCUGGUCCUUUUAAAAAGUAGCACCUGUAAUUAAAAACCCUAAUUGGACCAGUGCAAGGCUCUGUGCUGAGAAUACCCAUGACAACACGAAGCGGGGCCCUCGUGCUUUUGAACACACAUUGUCAAAGAGCUCUGUAGCCAGCCCGGCUUCCCUAAGAGUUUUCUUCUGUUCAUCUGCUAGUCUCGGGAAAUUCACCAUGGACCCAGCAGAAAGGGAGAAUGGGGAAGAGCAGAAGGCUCACAUUUGUGCCUUAAGUAAAUCCUUUCUAAAUCAUCAAGAGACUGUGGGACUGGCCACAGAGAGAUUUCAUCAGGGUUUUUAUACAACUAAAAUCAAUCCAUCCACUUUAUCUGCUUUGAACAAACUGGGGCUGCAGCAAGAAAUGUCACUAGGAGUUAGAGCUGCAUGGAAACCUUCAAGGUGUCAACUGACCACAUUCGUAGGUGUAGAAAUGGUACAUGGGCACACCACAGACUCACAGUGAUUUACUUUUUUAAAAUCGGCAACAAAUGGACUUAAGAAUCUACAAGGGAAUAAAAAUAUCAUGAGAGCCAAGCUGAGUUGAAGCAGGGUAACUCAAAAAUCAAUAUGUUGCUUUUAAACUCUUAAAGGGAGACCCAGGAGGGCUGCACUCAUUUUGUCCUCCCGAGCGACACUCCUCAGAGGAUGGGGGGGAAAGUGGUAAGUGCGUCCCAGACUUCAGCCUGGACGGUUGCUACCAACAAGCCACUUGUUAGAAUUCUCAGCUUCAGUUUCCUGGCGAGUAACUUUUUAAUUGUUCUGUUAUCUGAUGCUGGUUUUAAAAGAAUGUCACAAUGUGCAUUCUAUAGGUGAGAGUUUGCAUGUCCACUUGGUGGCUAAGGGGAUGGAAUAAAGGGAAGAGUCCUCUUCUUAGAUGCACUCGGCAAUCAGGGCACUAAAAAUGGCACCCGUUGCAGCUCAGCUGAGCUUUGGGGAGGGUUAGGGAUUAGAACCUGCUGAUAUGAACUCAAACUCUCUUACGUCCUUCGUACCUUGGGAAGGAGAGACAUAAUGCGUAAUCCUGUAAAGUAUUCUCCUGGUGUCUUCAAUAGAUGCAAAUGGUAAACUGAGGAGUGUCGCGCCCACCUAGUCCAGCAAGGAAGACACAACACGGUUGGAUUCUUCUCAACAGCUUUAUUACAGGAACGCCUCGAUGCUGCAGGGACCCC